UUUUUUUUUUCAUGGUCCGCAAAGAAUAAUGUGACUCCUUAUUAAGUUUUUGUACAUGGCUUAUACUUGGUUGACUUGAUGUGAUGGCUUGGAUUACUGGGGCAAAGGAACCAUGGUCACAGUCAGCUCAGCUUCCCCUACAGCCCCAACAGUGUUCCCACUGUCUCCUUGUAACCAAGAUGUUACCACCGUUAGCCAAGUUUCCAUCGGUUGUCUCGUCAAAGGCUACUUCCCUCAACCAGCCACAGUGCGAUGGAACUCAGGUGCCAUCACCACUGGCAUCCACAACUUCCCUCCAGUUGUGCUCUCAUCCGACCUCUAUACUCACAGCAGCCUGCUCACCAUCCCCGUCAGCAAGUGGCAAUCUGAGUCAUUCCAGUGCAACGUCAACCAUGAAGCCACCCGCACCACAAUUAACAAAAAGAUUGAGCGCAUUGAACCCCACAAACCUGUGAGCCCCGAGAUCCAUCUGUUCCAUUCUUCAUGUGGUUCUGGAGAUGAGUCCAUACAGCUGUGGUGCCAGAUUUCAGACUUCUUCCCCAAACCACUGGAAAUUGAAUGGAAGGUGGGCAGCCGCUCUGGAUUGCUGCGUCCAUACAAUUAUCCUCCAUGGCAGAAUCCUGGCAAGUAUACUUUCAGUACCGCCAGCGUAGUCAACAUCACCCAAGAUGACUGGCUAGAAGGAAAUGUUUAUUACUGCGAAGUAACCCAUGCAGCAUCCCAGACCAAGGUGAAAAGCAAAGCCAAGAAAUGUGAAGGUGGAAGCGAUUGUUCCUCUGGAGAUAUUAAUGUACAUAUGCUGCCCCCAACACCGAAAUCCUUGUACAUUGAUAGAAAUAGCAAGAUCAGCUGUGUUGUGAACAAUCUGCAAAAUGAACAGGGGUUGAAAAUUACCUGGUCUCGGGAGAAGAAUGGACACCUGAACCCUGAUCCAAUGGAAACAAGAGAAGAACCAAAUGGUACCUACACUGUUUUCAGCCACCUCAACGUCUACUCUCAAGACUGGGAAUCGGGAGAGACUUUCACCUGUGCGGUGGAACAUCCAUCCUUUGCUACCCCUGUCACAAAGAAAAUUUCCAAGGCCAGAGGCAAGAGCCGUGCACCCAAGGUCUAUGUCUUCCCGCCUCACCGAGAUGAGCUCAACCAAGGCACCACAGUAUCUGUAAUCUGCAUAAUAACUGGUUUCUACCCAGAGGAGGCUGAUGUCCAGUGGCUGCAGAAUCACAAUCCCCUGCCAGAAGACCACUAUGUGACCACUCCAGCUCUGAAGAAUAAGCAUGACGAUUCCUACUUUCUCUACAGCAAACUUAGCGUCUCCAGGACUGACUGGGAUGGCAAUUCGUACACUUGUAUGGUGGUCCAUGAAGCCCUCCCCAUGAAGUUCACCCAGAGGAACAUCUCAAAAACACAGGUGAUAGUUGUGACUUUCGAGAACAAUUACAGUUUGGAGAAAGAGGAAGAACUGGAGCAUUUGUGGACCAUCCUUUUUAUUUUCUUCAUCCUCUUCCUCUUCAGUGUGUGUUAUAGUGCCACAGUAACACUGUUCAAAGUAAAAUGGCUUUUUUCUACAACGCCACAACUGAAAAAGAAACCAACGUCCCCUAAUUACAGGAACAUGAUCCAGUAGAAGACCAAUG